rfam:Schistosoma mattheei strain Denwood, Zambia genome assembly, scaffold: SMTD_contig0009843
AGCUUUCUGAAUCUGUGUAGAGAUUUCGUCAGACACCAACGCAUUAGGGCUGAUCAGACUUUCAAGAUAAGUGGAGUU